GAGAGAAGGGAUGACACAGUAGGAUAAGCUAAGCACACUGUUGGUUAUGUGUGCCCAAGCAUUGAGGCAGUCAAAGUAGGCAAAUCCGCUUUGAUAAUGCUGGGAUGUGAUGGGGAGCGAAAUUUAGUAGCGAAGUAGCUGAUUUCACACUGUCAAGAAAAGUCUCUAUCGAGGUUAAAGGUACCCGUACCGCAAACCGACACAGGUGGGUGAGGAGAGUAUCCUAAGGCCAGCGAGAGAACUGUUGUUAAGGAACUCGGCAAAAUGACCCCGUAACUUAGGGAUAAGGGGUGCCACCAUCAGGUGGCCGCAGAGAAUAGGCCCAAGCGACUGUUUACCAAAAACAUAGGUUUCUGCUAAGUCGCAAGACGAUGUAUAGGAGCUGACGCCUGCCCGGUGCUGGAAGGUUAAGGGGAUCUGUUAGAGCAAUCGAAGCAGUGAACUUAAGCCCCAGUAAACGGCGGCCGUAACUAUAACGGUCCUAAGGUAGCGAAAUUCCUUGUCGGGUAAGUUCCGACCCGCACGAAAGGCGUAACGAUUUGGGCACUGUCUCAACAACAGACUCGGUGAAAUUGUAAUUCCGGUGAAGAUGCCGGAUACCUGCGACAGGACGGAAAGACCCCAUGGAGCUUUACUGUAGCUUGACAUUGGGUCUUGGUACUACAUGUACAGGAUAGGUGGGAGGCUUUGAAACCAGGACGCCAGUUUUGGCGGAGCCAUCCUUGGGAUACCACCCUUGUA
rnacentral:rRNA from 1 species